CUUGCCAAUCACUAAAAUAGCAUGUGAGCAUUUGGAGGCUGAUAUUUCUGCCACUAUUCUUAGACCAGACCUUUCUCCUGACCUAAACAGAAACGAGAGCUGGCGAAUUAGCAUCUAUCCAACAAGAUGUACAUUGUCUUGAGAUCAAUAUUGACUUUUCCUCAGCAGGGCAGUUUAAAUGCAUUUUCGUAGAAGACUGCCAGUCAUAUAUGGAUCGCUUAACACCACUCGCACUCUGUCUUUCUUUUACCCACAAGCAACUACCAAACUGUAUAAUGUUUCCACUGGUGCACUCCUAAUAAACUCCAAAUGAUGACCAUUGACCAAUCAAAAGCAAACGUCCUUACAUGGAUUUCUGGAAUCUUCCAGACUGUUUAAGGAGACAGUCAAGUUGACUAAUUUUUUCUUUCCUCAUCGAGAUGCCUUCCUCAUUCUCAGGGCACAUGGAGAUACUGACAGUUGCCACCACCACAGCUCCUCAUCAGUGCCAAGUCAGACAGAUGUACAUCUCUGCAGUUCCUCUCCCGUCCGUCCUUUAUUGGCACCCAGUACUGCAAUGGAAGUGGGCUUUAGCUGUGGCAUGGCACUCCAGAAGAAUGAGUCACACACUAGCCCUGCUACACACCAAAAGUCCCAUGCUCCACUACAACAGUGAGCCCAAUCCGCAAGGUGAAUAGUUUGGACUCUGAUGAAAAGAAACUGUUGUAAAUGUUUUAAUUACAAACAAGGGAGCUAGAAAAGUACUGAUAGGACGUGCUCGUUUGCCAUCAUCAUCGUCCAUCUGUGCUCUCAAGUAAGGACCAAGAAUUUUGCAAUUUGCACAGACGUUACCUUGAAAAAAGAACUAACCCAGGGUAUACUGACUGCAUAUUCUUUAAUAAUCAUUCUAAUGUUAGCCAUUGGUUUUACUUUUAUUUGGAAUUCAUUAAAAAGAGAAUAGCAUUAAAAAGAGUUCCUCUUCCGGCAUGCCAAUCUGCUAUCUGGUUUCUUGGUUUUUGUUCGUGAAUGCUGAGUGGGUGUGUUAUGGGAUCAUUAUUGUGCAGCUUUAACCCUCUAUGGUCCCAGCUUAUAAUUCACUUAAAGCACGUUGUUCAUUAACUACUAUGAAGUGCUAAGUAACUACAGUGAGGAAAUAGAAAGAUCCUUAUGACUAUGAGA